rnacentral:rRNA from 1 species
GACACGACUCUCGGCAACGGAUAUCUCGGCUCUCGCAUCGAUGAAGAACGUAGCGAAAUGCGAUACCUGGUGUGAAUUGCAGAAUCCCGCGAACCAUCGAGUCUUUGAACGCAAGUCGCGCCCGAGGCCACCCGGUCGAGGGCACGCCUGCCUGGGCGUCACG